rnacentral:misc_RNA from 1 species
AACGCACAUUGCGCUCUUGGGCAUUCCUGAGAGCAUGCCUGUUUCAGAAUCGUCAACAAACCAUCUGGUUUUUUUAGAUCCUCUUUUCUCUCUGGAGGGAGAAGGGGGUUUAAGGCUGGGAGGCUGAGUCGUUUUCCAAAUAGACAUCUGUUUUUUUGGAAUGACUUGAAAUUGACAAGAGAAAAGAGGAAAUAGCAAUGACCUCCAUGAAAAAAAAAGCGCGACAAGAAGGAACUCUCUUCAACCCCUCGCUUUUUGCUAAAGUGGAAGGACUCACUUGUUUUUUCCAAACGUUUUUCUCUAAACCCGAUCUCUUAUGAGAUCAAUCAAAAGAGGUCGUCUAACGACAUUUUUUGGAAUGGAUCUGAAAUCAGGCAAGACUACCCGCUGAACUUAA